AGCGGCGAGCGAACGGGGAGCAGCCCAGAGCCUGAAUCAGUAUGUGUGUUAGUGGAAGCGUCUGGAAAGGCGCGCGAUACAGGGUGACAGCCCCGUACACAAAAAUGCACAUGCUGUGAGCUCGAUGAGUAGGGCGGGACACGUGGUAUCCUGUCUGAAUAUGGGGGGACCAUCCUCCAAGGCUAAAUACUCCUGACUGACCGAUAGUGAACCAGUACCGUGAGGGAAAGGCGAAAAGAACCCCGGCGAGGGGAGUGAAAAAGAACCUGAAACCGUGUACGUACAAGCAGUGGGAGCACGCUUAGGCGUGUGACUGCGUACCUUUUGUAUAAUGGGUCAGCGACUUAUAUUCUGUAGCAAGGUUAACCGAAUAGGGGAGCCGAAGGGAAACCGAGUCUUAACUGGGCGUUAAGUUGCAGGGUAUAGACCCGAAACCCGGUGAUCUAGCCAUGGGCAGGUUGAAGGUUGGGUAACACUAACUGGAGGACCGAACCGACUAAUGUUGAAAAAUUAGCGGAUGACUUGUGGCUGGGGGUGAAAGGCCAAUCAAACCGGGAGAUAGCUGGUUCUCCCCGAAAGCUAUUUAGGUAGCGCCUCGUGAAUUCAUCUCCGGGGGUAGAGCACUGUUUCGGCAAGGGGGUCAUCCCGACUUACCAACCCGAUGCAAACUGCGAAUACCGGAGAAUGUUAUCACGGGAGACACACGGCGGGUGCUAACGUCCGUCGUGAAGAGGGAAACAACCCAGACCGCCAGCUAAGGUCCCAAAGUCAUGGUUAAGUGGGAAACGAUGUGGGAAGGCCCAGACAGCCAGGAUGUUGGCUUAGAAGCAGCCAUCAUUUAAAGAAAGCGUAAUAGCUCACUGGUCGAGUCGGCCUGCGCGGAAGAUGUAACGGGGCUAAACCAUGCAC
rnacentral:rRNA from 1 species